UACGGGGGGGGGUAAGCGUUGUUCGGAAUUACUGGGCGUAAAGGGCUCGUAGGCGGCCAACUAAGUCAUACGUGAAAUCCCUCAGCUUAACUGGGGAACUGCGUGUGAUACUGGAUGGCUUGGAUUUGGGAGAGGGAUGCGGAAUUCCAGGUGUAGCGGUGAAAUGCGUAGAUAUCAGGAGGAACACCGGUGGCGAAGGCGACACGCUGGGCCGUACCUGACACUGAUGCGCGACAGCAUGGGGGAGCAAACAGG
rnacentral:rRNA from 1 species